rnacentral:rRNA from 1 species
AUUGAACGCUGGCGGCAGGCCUAACACAUGCAAGUCGAGCGAGCGGCGGACGGGUGAGUAAUGUCUGGGAAACUGCCUGAUGGAGGGGGAUAACUACUGGAAACGGUAGCUAAUACCGCAUACCAUCAGAUGUGCCCAGAGGGGAUUAGCUAGUAGGUGGGGUAAUGGCUCACCUAGGCGACGAUCCCUAGCUGGUCUGAGAGGAUGACCAGCCACACUGGAACUGAGACACGGUCCAGACUCCUACGGGAGGCAGCAGUGGGGAAUAUUGCACAAUGGGCGCAAGCCUGAUGCAGCAAUGCCGCGUGUGUGAAGAAGGCCUUCGGGUUGUAAAGCACUGUCAGCGGGGAGGCGUUACCCGCAGAAGAAGCAACGGCUAACUCCGUGCCAGCAGCCGCGGUAAUUC